rnacentral:rRNA from 1 species
CACAAGCGGUGGAGCAUGUGGUUUAAUUCGAAGCAACGCGAAGAACCUUACCAGGUCUUGACAUCCUCUGACAACUCUAGAGAUAGAGCGUUCCCCUUCGGGGGACAGAGUGACAGGUGGUGCAUGGUUGUCGUCAGCUCGUGUCGUGAGAUGUUGGGUUAAGUCCCGCAACGAGCGCAACCCUUGAUCUUAGUUGCCAGCAUUCAGUUGGGCACUCUAAGGUGACUGCCGGUGACAAACCGGAGGAAGGUGGGGAUGACGUCAAAUCAUCAUGCCCCUUAUGACCUGGGCUACACACGUGCUACAAUGGAUGGUACAAAGGGCUGCAAGACCGCGAGGUCAAGCCAAUCCCAUAAAACCAUUCUCAGUUCGGAUUGUAGGCUGCAACUCGCCCUACAUGAAGCUGGAAUCGCUAGUAAUCGCGGGAUCAGCAUGCCGCGUGA